rnacentral:rRNA from 1 species
UACGUAGGGGGCUAGCGUUAUCCAGAAUUACUGGGCGUAAAGCGCGUGUAGGCGGCUGGUUAAGUGUGAUGUGAAAUCCUCGGGCUCAACCCGAGAACUGCAUUGCAAACUGGCCUGGCUAGAGUGCAGGAGAGGGAAGCGGAAUUCCAGGUGUAGCGGUGAUAUGCGUAGAUAUCGGGAGGAACACCUGUGGCGAAGGCGGCUUUCUGGGCCUUACCUGACGCUGAGACGCGAAAGCGUGGGGAGCGAACCGG